UACGAGAGGCCCAAACGUUAUUCGGAAUUACUGGGCUUAAAGAGUUCGUAGGCGGCGCGGUAAGUAGGGUGUGAAAGCCCUCGGCUCAACCGAGGAAUUGCGCUCUAAACUACCGUGCUUGAGGAAGCUAGAGGUGAGCGGAACUGAUGGUGGAGCGGUGAAAUGCGUUGAUAUCAUCAGGAACACCGGAGGCGAAGGCGGCUCACUGGGGCUUUUCUGACGCUGAGGAACGAAAGCGUGGGGAGCGAACAGG
rnacentral:rRNA from 1 species